UUAAGAACUAUAGGCAUGGAUAUCUAGAUUUGAGUUAAGUGAUAAUGAACUGUUAUUGUACAGCUAUGCCAAAAACAUGGAGACAUGUAUUUAAAGGAUUACUUGAUUCAAAAUGAGUUACACUGCAGGUAUUGUUUACACACUAGUCAAUAAUGUUCAUUAUUGUUAGGGUCAUCACAUGUAAUAAAUGAGUUAACAGGAUUCAUCUUCAGAUGUUAAAGUAAACAUUUACAGUGUAAAAAUGGUAACAGUGGGAUUUUGGCCAAUAUUCAUGAUGAUUUGAUCUUUCUGGAGUUUUGCUUCAGAAGUAUUCAAUGGCAUCAUGAUGAGCCUUGGAUGUCUGUAUGCCGUGCAGCUCCAGUUUUUCUCCAGCAUGGGGCAGGGUUUUAUAGACACGUAGAUGAAUA